CCUACGGGAGGCUGCAGUGGGGAAUAUUGGGCAAUGGGCGAAAGCCUGACCCAGCAACGCCGCGUGAAGGAAGAAGGCUUUCGGGUUGUAAACUUCUUUUGACAGGGAAGAGCAGUAGACUGUACCUGUCGUAUAAGCCAUGGCUAACUACGCGCCAGCAGCCGCGGUCAUACGUAGGGGGCAAGCGCUGUCCGGAUUUACUGGGUGUAACGGGCGUGUAGCCGGGCUGACAAGUCAGAUGUGAAAUCCGGGGGGUCAACCCCCGAACUGCAUUUGAAACUGUUGGUCUUGAGUCUCGGAGAGGCAGGCGGAAUUCCUAGUGUAGCGGUGAAAUGCGUAGAUAUUAGGAGGAACACCAGUGGCGAAGGCGGCCUGCUGGACGGCAACUGACGGUGAGGCGCGAAAGCGUGGGGAGCAAACAGGAUUAGAUACCCCUGUAGUC
rnacentral:rRNA from 1 species